UUUUUUUUUAAUAUGAAUUUAGUUACCAACAUUUAAAAAUCAGAUUUAAGUUAAAACCUGCAUUUCCAGUAUUCAAGUCUAUUUUAAGAUCUGGCAGCACAAAGCGAAACUGGUAACUGGCUGACAGUGAAAAGUAGGGUGCUUCCUUUGAGUCGGACUGUAGCUCUCCAUACAGUCCCCUCACUCACCUCCGCGGCGCCGGUUCUGGUCCUGGGCUCUGACGUACAAGGUAGACUUUCUCUUUCGCAGCUUUGUUUUCCCGUGGGAGCGGUUUUGGAGAGCGCGGAAAGCAAGGCUGCGGCCGCCACCUUCCGGCUCCAUUUCCACCUGCUUGGAGGCCAGCAGACGUUCCCCAGCCGCCACCUUCCAAGGACGGAAGGAAGGUGGAGAAACGCGCGCUGCUGGUGCUGCAGUAAGUUUGGUCUUUGCGAGCAGCCGUCGCUUGCAGACGCGGAGGUAUCCGGGCCAGGGCCAGUCUUGAAGCCAACGCGCCAGGCAGUCCCCGCAGCAGAGUGCGGGUCUUCUGCAGAAGGCUCCCGCGUUUUCUCUUUGGCGCUGCCUAGCCGCGGAGGACGGGAAUAGCUGCCUGUUUUUGGUUUUGUCUCUGCUCCGACGUCCGGAAGUGCUGCCGGAAGGAGACCAAUCUCCCCUCGCGGGGACAGGCGAAGGCGCGGGGGAAGCGUCGCGGAGCUGCCACGGGACGGUCGGACGUGCCGAGUGCUGGCGGUACUGGUAAUGAUAAUCAUAAACCUAAGUGUGUAACAUUGCACUGCUUCGGUGGUCUUACAGAAACUCCCUGUUGAACGGGGUAGUCAGGGUAGCUUAUUGCACCUAUGUAGCAACAGGCUGAAAGGACUGGGGAGGGAGGGUGUGUUGAUUUAACCCGUAACCAUUGAACCAAGCAUGAUUGAUAAAAUUUGUCACUUAUUGACUCAACUGUAGGAGAUAGGAGAAAACAGGCUUUUCUUGCCCAAGUUAGUUUAAAUUACAUUCCAGGCAUAUUAAGGGCAGGCUAGUUAGUUUAUAGUCUGAUAUUUGUGACCUCUGGUGCUGGUGUAGGAGGCCAUGUUAAAAUCGAGUAAACAAAUUCUUCACUGUGCUUUCCUUAUUCUAGAAAGGAAUAUGUUGGCAAGGAAUAUCACUUUCUGGAAAGCCUUAGAGUCUUUCAGUUGUUAAAAAUUUAACAGCACAUUUCAUUAUAUUUUUCUUAAAAGCAUAUUUUUCUUAAAAUAUAAAUUAUAGAUGGCAGAUAAUUUAUAUUUGAUAUCUUCUGUGCUUACUAAAACAAAAAAAGAAACAAUUUUUUUUUUUUUUUUUUGCUGGGUAUUGAACCCAAAGGUGCUUUUUGCCACUGAGUCACAUCUCCAUCCCCUUUUUAAUUUUUUUAUUUUGAGACAGGGUUUCAUUAAAUUACUUAAGUCCUUGCUAAGUUGCCCAUGUUGGUCUCAAACUAGCAGUCCUUCUGCCUCAGCCCCAGAGUCGCUGGGAUAUCAGGCAUCGGCCACUAUUCUAGGUGGAACUCAUUAAAUCGUUUAGCUCAUUAAACAAUUGUUCUUAUGGUACAUACUACUAAAAAACAUGAAUAAUCCAAAAAGGACGAAUGGAAAGUAAUAAUUCUCUGUCUACCUUACUCUUGCUUCCAGUUCACAUUUCUCAGAGGCAAUCACAGCUUUUUCCAACUGUUUUGUUUUGUUUUAAUUUGUUUUGUGGUAUGAAUUAAAAGCAUAAAGAGAGUGUCAUUCCCUGCCAUCUUUUUCCCAUAUUAAGUUAUCCAUUUAAAACCAUGGAGAACAUACUGUAAUAAAAGAAGAUUUAGCUUUGUCUUAUAUCGUCUCCUUACCUUAUUUCCCAUAGUUAAAGUGAUGCUUCAAUAGUACAAAAAAUGUUGUUCACUCUCAAGCAAAGUAGUGAUAUGAAAUCUUAAAGUGAUUAUACUAAGUCAUUGCUCUGUUUCCUCUUUUCUUUGUACAGAGAUAUGAAGAGAUUUGCUGAAUGUGGAAUAUAACUUUUCAGAACCACCUUUGUUUUAUUCUGUGUUUGUUGCAACAAUGUUUGGGAGAUUGACUUUUCCACAACUGCUUUUUGCUGGAGUCCUUGGACUUGCUGGAGGAAUAUAUAUUUAUCAACCAAUAUUUGAACAAUAUUCCAGGGAGCAGAAGGAAUUAAAAGAAAGGGCGAAAUUGGCACAAGCAUCAGAAGAGAAGAAAAGUUAAUACUACCUGGAGUUGAAUUGUAACAGUUGAUUAAAAUUUUGCUGAAAUUAUACACUGACCUAGGAAAAACUUAGGUAUUUUUUAAACA
rnacentral:lncRNA from 1 species